GUGGUGGCGCACGCCUGUAAUCCCAGCUACCCAGGAGGCUGAGGCAGGAUCAUCUCUUGAACCGAGGAGGUGGAGGUUGCAGUGAGCUGAGAUCACGCCAUUGUACCCCAGCCUGGGCGACACAGCAAGACUCCAUCUCAAAAAAAAAAAAAAAAAACCAAAAAUCCACUCAUACAAAGGGUGAGCUCAGCUCACUGGUCCACUUCUCAGUGCCUUCUCCAUCCUCACUUGCAAACCUCAGAGGGAUAAAGCAGUUGAACCUGAUGAGCAAGAAUUGUAACAGCAAGGAAUCAUUAAUGCUUAGAAUUCUGAGGUCCAGCACAACUCAGUCUCUAGGAGCUCAGCUCACUGCCCAGGGAUAGGUAUGACCUACGUCUGCCUUAGGCUGCUGGUAGAAGCCAUUCUCCAGUUUCAGAAGCAGGAAGGGCAAAGGUCAAGACUGUGGUAUUGGAGUCUUUUGGCUCUGAAGGAUCCUGGAACCACUGAUUUUGUUUUAUUCCCUCCAGGGUCUAAAGAGAACAAGAAGUGCUAGCUCUUACCAAAACAGAUGGUAGAGAGUUGCUGGCUAUUUAAAAGCCCUUUCAUCUUUUAAUUCACUUCUUUUCACUUCUUAACCAUCCAACAGGAACAGAACACUCCUAGGACUGGGAGUCUUACUUUUAGCUCCAUAAGCAAAUGAGCAGAUGGGACAAGUUAGUCUUUUCUCCCUAGAAACAAAGGGGAUGCCUGGUGGUUUCCCUUUGCUUCCCAACCUAAAAUUUCAAGUUUAAUAAAAUAGCAGUUAGCAUAAGUGACCAAAUUGGGAGAUAAUUAUCACUCAUGAGGAAAGAUACACAUUUCAGUCAUAAAGAAUGUAAGGGCUAUAAGCACAAACUUUCUAUAACCUAAAUGAUGUUAUAGCAUUAGUAUUUUUUAGCAGGAGCAGAAAGAUUAAAUAUGAUCACUUCAUACUUCUAAAUCAGAAAUAGGAAGAUUAAAACCACAGAACAGUUUGUGACUGCCGUUGCUAUAGCUAGGUAUCUUACUCUGUCCACUCUUGUUCAAGUAUCUAACUCUUCUGGAGACCAAAUAGGCUUUAGAAGAGAUUAUCCUAAAUUCCUAUCAGUGUAAUACUAAAAUAUAACUUUUUAAUCACCUGGUUUUUAAAAGAUAAACAAUUUAGCCCAUCUCUCCAGAGAGCAAACAUAGGAAUAUGCCUCAGGAGCCUUUACUCCCUGGGUUUAUCAUCAGCCCUCAUACCCGUUUCCCCCUCCAACCCACAGCCUUUGCUUCCAGGUGGGGGGAUUACUUCUUUGCCUCUUCAGCAGCAUCUACUCUAGGCGUAUUGAUCACUUUGGACACUGGGAGAAGAACCUCAAACUAGGAAGAAAAGACAGCCUACAUUUAGUUUUGGGAGGGGAUGGCAGACAGCAAGGAGAUGAGCAUCCUAAGGCAUGCUGGGAUAAGGUCAGAGGCACCACCCAUGGAGAGGUUUGUCAACACAAAGACGUGGAAGGUUAGAGGUUUGUCAACACAAAGACACAGGAAGAAUGGGCAGCAGAAGAUUUAGAUGUUUUCCAUUUGGGCACAUUUAACUUAGCUGGAUAACUUGGUUUAAAACAGCCUGGGUAGGAAAAUUAGAAGCAAGCUGGGUGCAGUGGCUCAUGCCUGUAAUGCCAACACUUUUGGGAGGUCCAGGCAGGAGGAUCGCUUGGGCCCAGGAGGUCAAG